GUUUACAUUACAGCCUAGUGAUAACUCCACUGGCAACUCUUCAGACGGCUACUAGAGGUGCUUCCUGGGCAGUGCAGAUCAGGGGCUGAGCCAGCACCAGCAGACUGGGCUAAAGAUUUUACUAUAUUUAGGAGGGCAAGGGGGGGGGGGGGACCAGGAUAGUGUUUUUAACACUACAGGGACAGAAAUACAAGUUACGUGUUCCUUUAACCUGUUUACAUGACAAAGUGAGGCAAUUUAAAGAACUAUUUAAAAAACAAAACAAUUAAGUUGUGUAAAAAGAUGCAAUCUGUUUAAGCUUUCUUACUUUAAAAGCUCAGGUACGGAUUGAGGUCCAAAACAUGGGAACUAUCCUAGGUAGAUUUUUAUUUUCUAAUCAAAAAC